CUUGUCGGACCGAGGUUCUGCCUCGGCAGUUCAUUCAAGUUUCUGCCCUAUCAGCUUUCGAUGGUAGUGUAUUGGACUACCAUGGCCACAACGGGUAACGGAGAAUAAGGGUUCGGUUCCGGAGAGGGAGCCUGAGAAACGGCUACCACUUCUAAGGAAGGCAGCAGGUGCGUAAAUUACCCAAUCCUGACUCAGGGAGGUAGUGACAAGAAAUAACAAUCCGGGGUCGUUACGGCUUCUGGAAUUGCAAUGGACCGAAUUUAAAAGACUCGGUGAGGAACAAUUGGAGGGCAAGUCUGGUGCCAGCAGCCGCGGUAAUUCCAGCUCCAAUAGCGUAUAUUAAAGUUGUUGCGGUUAAAAAGCUCGCAGUUGAACUUCUGUUUCUGAGGAUAAGCACCCGCGAGUCACCAGAAACAUCCGCCUGAGAACGCUUCGCGUCCUUAACUGGGCGGUGGUGCAAUCAGGCACUUUACCUUGAAUAAAUUAGAGUGUUUCAAGCAGGCCUACGCCCUGAAUACACAAGCAUGGAAUAAUGGAAUAGGACUAGGGUCCAUUUUAUUGGUUAUUGGCUCUAGUAAUGAUUAAUAGGGACAGUUGGGGGCAUUAGUAUUUAAUUGUCAGAGGUGAAAUUCUUGGAUUUAUUAAAGACUGACUAGUGCGAAAGCAUUUGCCAAGGAUGUUUUCAUUAAUCAAGAACGAAAGUUAGGGGAUCAAAGACGAUCAGAUACCGUCCUAGUCUUAACUAUAAACUAUACCAACUAGGGAUUGGUCGGAUGUCUAAUUCGAUCAGCACCUAAUGAGAAAUCAAAGUCUUUGGGUUCCGGGGGGAGUAUGGUCGCAAGGCUGAAACUUAAAGGAAUUGACGGAAGGGCACCACCAGGAGUGGAGCCUGCGGCUUAAUUUGACCCAACACGGGGAAACUUACCAGGGCAAGACAUUGGUGGGAUUGACAGAUUGAGAGCUCUUUCUUGAUUCGUUGGGUAGUGGUGCAUGGCCGUUCUUAGUUGGUGGAGUGAUUUGUCUGGUUAAUUCCGUUAACGAACGAGACCUUAACCUGCUAACUAACCUGCUUAUCUAGCAUGAGUAUGGUUUCUUAGAGGGACUAUGCACGUAAGUGCAUGGAAGUUUGAGGCAAUAACAGGUCUGUGAUGCCCUUAUAUGUCCUGGGCCGCACGCGCGCUACAAUGACACGUUCAGCGAGUUCCCCUGUACCGAAAGGUUACGGGAAAUCUUUUUAAAACGUGUCGUGCUGGGGAUCGAUCUUUGGAAUUAUAGAUCAUGAACGAGGAAUUCCUAGUAAGCAUGAGUCAUCAGCUCAUGCUGAUUACGUCCCUGCCCUUUGUACCCACCGCCCGUCGCUCCUACCGAUUUGAGUGAAAAGGCGAACCUUCUGGACCAAAGGGGUCUAGAACCUCUGCGGGAAGUUAAGUAAACCUUAUCA
rnacentral:rRNA from 1 species